AAUGAUUUUUCAUAUGCAAUUGUGAUAGUUGGAGAGACACCAUAUGCUGAAACAAAUGGUGACAGCUUAAACUUAACAAUCUCUGGACAUGGAUAUGAAACGAUAGACAAUGUAUGCAGCGGAGUGAAAUGUGUCGUUGUGUUAAUCACCGGUAGACCUAUUGUUAUACAACCAUAUCUUGAGAAAAUUGAAGGACUUGUGGAUGAUUGGCUUCCUGGUAGUGAAGGUUCUGGUGUUGCCGAUGUUUUGUUUGGUGAUUAUGGAUUUACCGGUAAACUUCCAAGGACAUGGUUUAAGACUGUUGAUCAGUUACCAAUGAAUGUUGGUGAUUCUCAUUAUGAUCCUUUGUUUCCAUUUGGAUUUGGUCUUACAACUGAAGCUCAUAAGGCUACUUCAGAAUAUUAGAUUUUGUUAAAUCAUUUAGCAUUUUUUGUGUUCUUAGGCUAUUUAUUACUAUUGUAUUUUUUUCUACAUUAGAUGUUAGUACCAAAUUGGUAUUUUCAUAUACUAUGUUUGAAAAAAAAAAUCAGCUUUAAUUGUUAAACUUAUUGAGUUCCAAUUAAAUUUAUAUGUUUUUUGUUUAGACAAAUGUAAGUGGUUAGAAAAUUGUUAACGGCGGAGAUCGAACUCUAACCUCCUUAUGAAUACUUUUUCGAUGUUCUCACUUAUAUUACUGAGCUACACCUUCAAGAUCAAAUCUAUCCGAUGUUAACCUUCUUGAACUUACAUUUUAUGAAUUUCGGAAAGAGACUUUGAAAGUCUAUAUUUGUUUUUAAAAAAAAAAUAAUGCCAAAAGAUAAUGUAGUUUUUGUUUUAAGAAAUAAAUCUUAGGAGGCAAGUAUGAGUUAUGAUGCUUAGAUUGUGAUCUUACCGGAUUUAGUAAGACCACAAAAAAUACAACUAACCGUUGGAGGAGAGAUGUUGAUAUGAGACAAAAAAUAGAAUCUCUCAAGUGUAGGGAUUCUAAUUACUUAAACUAUCAUUAGGGCCUGGUAAGGCUACAAUUAGUUGAGUGGUUCACAAAUUUCAAAAUAUUGCUAUAGAGAAUGAAAUCAAAAUGGAUGAAACAUGAAAUUGAGCUCUAAUGUACCAUUUAUCACCGAAUCAAAAUGGAUGAAACAAUUAUGUAAUAAUCACUACUACAAUUGAAAAUAUAUUUUAAAACUAUCCAUACGUGAUUUGAUCAUUAAAUUUGAACAAUCAUAAACAAAACAAAAAUUAAAAGUAACGUUGUUAAUUAUUUAUUUAAUUGAGAUCAGAAUGGAUCAUAAUCACAUGUUCCAUCGUUGACUAUUUUUUUUUGUUUGUCUAUUUAUAUGUCACACUCUUACAACUACUUUACAAAUAUUCACAUUCUUCCACUUUCAUACUUUGCCUUUUUAUUAUUCUAUGAAAAGUACACAUUUUGUCUCUCCUUUUUUCUGUAACAUUGUAGUGCCACAUAAAAAGUUUGUUUGCCAUAAACUCAAACUUGUAAAUUGGUAGGCAAUUUUUUUUUUUUUUGUUACAUUUUAUUCUUGUAAAUUCUAUUUCUGUUGUUGAUUGUUGAUAUGAAUUAGCAGUGGUCGGCUUCAUGGUAUUACGGGCCGUUAGAUUAAUAAACUUUUCAUCUAACGUCCUCCAUCCAUCCAACUUUAUUGGAAAGUCGGAUAUAUGAUCAAGCCGAUUGCUGAGGAUCGAAGUUUUUGUUUAUUGGUUGAUUGCAAAUAAAUUUCAUGACCAAACUAGAAAUGGGUCUAGAACUAUUUUAUGAAUGGUUUUGUUUUCCAUGAUGUUUUUUAAUUACCAAACAUUGGUUUAGUUGCUUAUUUUCAUUAUUUGUUAUUGGACAUGUUUAUGUCUUGUCCCUUCUUCUCUAGAACUUUUUUCAUUUGGAUUUUGGCAUGUGUCUUUUCUAGAACAUUGUUUUGUUUUCUCUAGAACAUGUUUAUGAAUAAUUUGAAGUUGUUUGUGAUCUUAUUCUGUAGUUGUUUUGAGAGGGAGAAAUGGUCAAAGGUGCAAUCUCUUUGGUGGCCGGGCUAGUGCUCUUCCAUUGUUGGGUAGCAAUGGCAGAAGCGGAGCAUUUGAGAUACAAAGAUUCAAAGCAGCCGUUGAAUACUCGAAUCAAGGAUCUUAUUGACAGGAUGACUUUGGAAGAGAAAAUUGGUCAGAUGGUUCAGAUUGAACGCGGUGUUGCUUCUGCCGAAGUAAUGAACAAGUACUUCAUUGGUAAGAUUUAUUUGCUAAAUUUUUUUUAUCUUUUAAACUAGAUUUUCAAAAAAAUUUGUUAUUGUUCAUUUGAGCUGCAAAAUGAACAUAAGGAAAUUCACUAAGUUUUUUCUUUUUAUCUCCAUGCCUGCAAUGAAAUUUUAAUUGAGGUUGCAUAUGGAUUCGUUGUAGUAACAGUAUCACGUAGUUUCAUGUUGUAAUCCAUCUCGACCAUUGAUUUGAGGUCGGACUGUUUAGAUUACACAUUCAUUACAUCAAUAUUAAACGAUUCCGACAACCGAUUUAGGUCAGAUGGCUAAGUCACUGCUUGAUUUAAGAUGCCAAAUAAUUUGAAUUAGGAUUUUCUUAACUUUUUAUCUUUAAAUUUUUUAUAGGGAGUGUUCUAAGUGGUGGAGGAAGUGUUCCUAAACCAAAGGCUACUGCAAAGGAUUGGGUUGACAUGAUCAAUGAAUUUCAAAAGGGUGCUUUAUCAACUAGGCUUGGAAUUCCAAUGAUAUAUGGAAUUGAUGCUGUUCAUGGAAAUAAUAAUGUCUAUAACGCAACUAUUUUUCCUCACAAUGUUGGUUUAGGAGCUACAAGGUAUGCCUAUAUUUUUUGUGUGAAAAUUUAAGUUCUUCAAAUCCUUUUUUUGGAAGAAAAUAGUUUCUCAAUUCUUGGUUAUUAUUGAUUUCUUUUAUUCAAAUUCAAAAGUCUUCUCUUGUCUGUUGAAAUACUAUGAUUUUAUUAUUGUCUACUAGUUAUAAAAAAUGGAAUAUGUGCAACUAUAAAUUUGUCAAAACGUGCUUUCAUGUUGUCUAGGGAAGGUACACAAUCCAAAUAAAAUAUUACAACUGGUUGAGACCUAUAAUAUAAUGCAAGAUCAUACCUAUAAUAAUUUUAGUGAUGUUAUCAAAUAUAUUUAAUUUAUUAAAGUGUUCAUAUUUUAAUGGUGUAAUAUUUCCUUUGGUUGACUUUUACUCUAUAUUCUUUUUCCUAUGAUAUUAGACUUUAUUGUAAACAAGCAAGCUAUAAUUUUUAAUUUUAAUAUGAAUGUGCGAGGUGUUGUCAUUAUAGUUUUUGAAUGUAUUGAAAUUAUAUGGAUCAAAUCGGCUAAAAAAGACACAUUCGAGAAUCAAACUAACUAACGAAAGACAAAUUUGAGGAUCAAAUAGACUAAUGACACACUACACCAUUUGUUGUCUCUAGCAACACUUUUUAAGCAACAUGUAAAAAUUGUUGCUAAAAGUCUCUAAUUACACAAAGAAAAUGCCUUUUUUUUCACUAUGACUCUUUGUAUUGAUGAUGUAUUUUUUAUAUCCCAAAUUGCAGGGACCCUCAACUGGUGAAGAAGAUUGGUGAAGCAACCGCUCUUGAAUCCAGAGCAACUGGAAUUCCAUAUGUCUUUGCACCUAGCAUCGCGGUAAUUUAGAUAAUCAAAAUUAUACCUUAGCUCUUUGUCGAUCGUAGAAAAUAACAAUUUGUUCAAAUUUCGCUACGCUACAAUGCUAUAGCGCUAGUAUUGGACAACAAAUUGUAUUAAAUAGUGUGUUGCACAACAAUAGCGAUUUGUUCAAAUUUUGCUAUACGCAGUAGCGAUGUUGCGCCGCUUUUGCAAAUAUUUGACAAUAUUGUUCAACCUAAUGACAUAUGUGUUUGAAUUUAUAGGUGUGUAGAGAUCCAAGAUGGGGUAGAUGUUAUGAAAGUUAUAGUGAAGAUCAUAAAAUUGUCCAAGCUAUGACUGAGUUAAUUCCAGGAUUACAAGGUGACCUCCCUGCAAAUUGGUCAAAUGGUGUUCCAUAUGUUGUUGGAAAGUAAGAGAUCAUGAUGCUGCUGCAUCUUUAUAUAUGCGUGUUUCCUAUAUAACAGUUUGGUUUCCUUCCUAAACCGAAACACGAAUAGUCCUGCAUUUAAUUGUUAAUUUUGAAUUUUUUUUUCGUAUACAAUCAUUUGUCUAUGUUACACUAUUAUGUUUAUCUUGCCUUCAUCAAUUACUUUUAUUGACUUUCAGAACUUACUUUGAUUAUAAAUUCAACUUUGCAUCCUUCUUACAAAAUCAUUCUAUUCAUACUUGAACUUAAAACUGAUUUUCUUGUCAUUUCCUUGUACAGCAAGAAAGUUGCAGCUUGUGCUAAGCACUUUGUUGGUGAUGGUGGAACAACAGAAGGAAUCAAUGAGGAUAACACAGUUGCAACCAGACAUGAAUUGUUUAGCAUUCACAUGCAAGCUUACUAUAACUCGAUCACUAAGGUUGUCUUAACCAUCAUGGUCUCAUACUCAAGCUGGAAUGGAGAAAAGAUGCAUUCUAAUCGCGAUUUAGUCACCGGCUUUCUCAAGAACACGCUCCAUUUCAGGGUAAUACUUUACCUCAUAGGCCUUGGAUUUCAUAGUUUCGAAAGAUUAUAUCAAGAAUUUAUUUUUUAUGAAUUAUCUGUGUAAAAGACGUAACAAUAAAUUAUACUAUGACUGUGUAAAAUAGGUGACUAUAUAUUAUAGCAUAAAUAAUUGUAUAUUAACUUAAGCCUGAAAUUGUUUAUUUAUCGAUCAUCAUAUUAGUAUAUGCUUAAAAUUCUAUGUUUUUAUGCAGGGUUUUGUCAUAUCAGAUUGGAAGGGAAUUGACAGGAUAACUUCACCUCCUCAUGCUAACUACACAUUUUCAAUUGAAGCCGGAGUGAAUGCCGGUAUUGACAUGGUAAACUAUGAAUUUUACUAAUCUUUUGAAUAGCCUUAUAUAUUUUAGGGUUUACAAUACUUGCACACUCUGGGAACCAACCAAUUUCUCUAAAUCCUGGUGGUGUUGAUUAGUCUUAUUUGAUUUUAUUCAUAAAAAAUAUGAUCUUUAAUACUUACCCUUUUAAUGAUGCAGAUAAUGAUUCCCUUUAACUACACGGAAUUCAUCGAUGGCCUAACCUUACUAGUGAAAAAGAAUGUCAUACCUAUGAGUAGAAUUGAUGAUGCAGUGAAGAGAAUUUUGAGAGUGAAGUUUGUUAUGGGCCUAUUUGAAAAUCCAUUGGCUGAUUACAGCCUUGCCGAUCAAAUCGGUAGCCCGGUUAGUCGAUGAUCUUGGAUUUAAAUAUGAUUUUAGUCCUAAAAACUUAUACCAUAAAUCCAUAAUGAGAAACUAAAUUGGCAACAUAAUUUGACAGGAGCAUAGGGAAUUGGCUAGGGAAGCGGUGAGAAAAUCAUUGGUACUAUUAAAGAAUGGUGAAAAUGUUGAUAAGCCGAUACUUCCUCUUCCUAAAAAGUCUUCAAAAAUACUUGUUGCUGGAAGUCAUGCUGAUAAUCUAGGAUAUCAAUGUGGUGGAUGGACCAUUCAAUGGCAAGGACAAAGUGGCAACAACAUCACCACUGGUAUACAAUAAAAUUCCUUCUCAACUUCUUUUCCUACUAUUGUUUGACACUUUCUUGUACCGAAAAUUCAAGGAAAAUUUUCAUUAAUCUCCUUAAAGUAUGAUUAAAUCAGUUUUUUAAAAUCCGAACUGAAAGUUUAACUAGAUUAAACUUGAACCACCCUUAACUACGGUUUGGACCUUUGACAGUUCGGUUUUGGUUUUAUCCUAAUUCACGUGGCUUAAGGAAGUUGAACCAUAAUUCAGAGGUCUUUCUGAUUCGAUGUUUGGUUAGCUUUUAAAAUCAUUGGUUUAAAUACCAAGUGUUCAAUUAAAAAAAUGGAAGGGAUGUGUGUGCCAUUUAAGCGUGCAUUAAGGAAGUGAAUGUAGUUUCCCUCGGUGUAGUCAAAUGGAAGCAAUAGCGGCGCUAUAGCAUUUUGGAAUUUAGAAAAAUUGAUAUUGUUCUGACGUGUGCUAGUUAGUACAAGACGAUGUCAAAUAAUCAUUAUUGCGGUGCUAUAACAUUGCUUAACUGAUAUACAGGUACCCCAAUUCUGAGUGCUAUAAAACACGCAGUCGACAAAGAAACCAAGGUAGUCUACGAGGAGAAUCCUUCAUUAGAUUAUGUAAAAUUCAAUGAUUUUUCAUAUGCAAUUGUGGUAGUUGGAGAGACACCAUAUGCUGAAACAAAUGGUGACAGCUUAAACUUAACAAUCUCUGGACAUGGAUAUGAAACGAUAGACAAUGUAUGCAGCGGAGUGAAAUGUGUCGUUGUGUUAAUCACCGGUAGACCUAUUGUUAUACAACCAUAUCUUGAGAAAAUUGAAGGACUUGUGGUUGCUUGGCUUCCUGGUAGUGAAGGUUCUGGUGUUGCCGAUGUUUUGUUUGGUGAUUAUGGAUUUACCGGUAAACUUCCAAGGACAUGGUUUAAGACUGUUGAUC
rnacentral:lncRNA from 1 species